ensembl:lncRNA
AGCAGGUGAGGGUAGGAGGGGUAGGGAUGUAAGCUAGCAUAAUGCCGCUGAUGAUAUUAGCUAAAGCUGUUCAAUGUCCAAAAUCUCACUAACACCACGGUGCAGUAAAUACACAAUGUAACUGAAGAGUCAGUUGACAAAUCUAUUCACACAGAAAACCAAAUUAUGUUAUGAGUGCCUCGUAAUUAGGUUUAAUGUGAUAUUACGGCUCUUGUGCCAAAGACAAAUUCAAAUGAAAAAGCGCCAAUUCUUUGACAACAGAUAAAACAGCAAAUAAGCUAACGGCUCUUUUUUAGCAUGUUACAUGGCGACACUCUAGACGUUUAACUACAUUUGGCUGAAAUAUGGUAAAAAUUAAUUCAAAAAAUCAAGACAUACCAAAAACGUAGAGUUGGCUGCUCGACUUGACUGAGAUGGAUGCCUUUUUUAAACCACGAUCCAAAGCCCGCGAGAUGAAAUCACGCGUGGUUUCACGAGAUUUAACGUUGCUAUCUUAUUAACUUACUUCACCUGAACAUGAUAUGAACAAUUUAAUACACCCUUUCUGCAUAUCAUGUAGUUUUUACACUAUAUAGUUACAUUUAACUUUAAAACAUGAGGCAAUUGUGUUAAAUACAUGCAAGAUGCUUACAUAAAUCCAAGAGAUGGCCAGUCCCUUUUUUUCAGUGUUCAUCCACAGCGUUUUUUAAUAUUAGGCCAUUUUCACUGUGUUGAAUAGAAUAUAGCCAAACCUUCCAACCCUUUUUUUUUCUUUUUUCUUUAGAAUUGCCGUCUCCGUUUAUUAGAUUAGCUUAAAGUGGCUAAGCUACAAACCGCCAUCCACAUGAGGUCCUAGAGCCAUAAAUCGCCCCAUUGAAACCCAUUAUAAACGCUAUUUUUCACUGCAGGAUUUAUACCGUUAACAUCUGGGUGAUGGCUUAGGUUUCGUUUUUGUUUUGAAGAAGAGGCCUUAGAAUUGUCAUUUUUUUUUAUUUUUCCACCGGGUGGCGCCCUUGCUGGAAAACAGCGGGCUGCUUAGACAGACCUGCGGGGAAUGAAGCCUCAUUUCCGGCGUGCAGCAGCGGCUUCGCCCGCUGAUCGGGCGGGACCAUUUUUUGGGUGCUUUUUUUUUUUUUUUUUUUUCAACAGUCAACAGGAAAUGACGUAUUUGUUGUCACGUGGUAUCGUACGUGUGUGCUGGAAAAAGGAGUCCCCGGUGAUCGUGCCCCGGUCAUCGUCGCGACGUACCCCGGGAAGAUGCACUUAUUUCGGCCAAGAGGAGGAGCAUUUGCCGCCUGGAGACCAUUUUCUGGUCCUGAAAAAAAAUAAAUAAAAGGCGAUCGAAAUGAAUGUUGGUGCCAAUCUUUAGUCCAUCCAAAGGCCUAAUUAAAAGUACAAUAAAAUAUAACUUUCAAAUGUAUUUUAUGGAAAAUAUUUAAUUUUUUCAUUUUUUUCGCCAAAAACGGCCGUGCGCUCAUGUGACAAAACCGGGAUAUAGAGGGUUAAAAUCCGCGAAAUGUAAUUAAAACUUGACAUGAAUAUUUCAAGGAGAAGUAGGUCUAAAAGAUUGGCUAAUUUAAAGUGGAAAAAAAUAUUAAUGUAUAAUCUUUUUAUAGCACUUUUUAUGGCGUGGUCGAUUUUUGGCUCUAGGACCUCAUAAGGGGUACUUUUUUUUUUUUUUUUUUUUUAGACUUACCAAGGGUUAAAAGGACGCGAUCUGUGAGAGAUGCAUCAGGUCACUGGGAGUGGUUUGACUGGAAAAAAGGGAGUGCUUAUUCCAGAUAAGUCUAUUAGGAGAGAUUACAAAGAGAUGUUCCAAGGUUUUUUUUUGUUUUGUUUUGUUUUUUUUUUUUCAAUACAACAGGGGUUGGUUAUUUUGCAAUGCCAAGGAUGAUACUCACAGGGGGACUGCUGGGGUCGUACGAGGGUGAACAGCCAGGUGAGUUGCUGAGGUGAGUAUUUCAGAAGGAACUGGUCAGCUCGAGACAGGUAAGUAGUCCUGGUAAGAGAACUGCUCUUUAGCCACACAGGGAAUACCGGGAAGCUACAACAUCAGUUUGCAGGAACGCAGUUGCACAAUAAAUCUCAGAGACAGGCAGAGAAGCUGAGUGCUGGAGGUUGUCCUUGCAUACUGGCUGCUGAUGAGGCUGAUUGGGUUGACAAGACUCCAACACAACCUCGGCCGAAGCACCAGAACAAAAGCAAACCAGUGCGGGACUUUCUGAAUUGUUUGAAAGCACUUCAUAAAUAAACUUUAUUACUUGCAGUACUGUGCAGUAUUUCAUUGGUUCAAAUGGUGGCCUUUACUGCUAGAGGAGCCAAAACUUUAUCAGAAACUUUCAUGCAAUUUGUGAUAUGCUAAUUAUUGUUUAUUUUCUGUUGGAUGUUGUUCAGAUUGGAUCUAUGUAUCUACUUUAAAAAAAAAAACAUGCACAAUAUAUUCUGUAAGUCCAAGCUUUGUAGUUAUAAAAGUAAAUACCCAGGUACAGUUCAAAUAUGGGCUUAUAAUGAAUUAUAA